GGAUCAUUUUCCCGAGAAAGUGGAGGAAAUUCCGGUGAGAAAAAUAUCAGAAUCAGAAUCAGAAUGGGCAUAAUCGCAGGAAUUGGAGUGCUGCUGCCAUUUCCCUUCUACUACGUCUUAUGGACUCGUCCACAGUUAUGGGCGAAUUUUUGCGGGAAAUGGCGCGAACCCUGCAAAUUGAUGGCUCGGGUCUCCAUCUUUCUCAAGUUGCUUCAGUUCCUCUCCAUCCUCCACGUCUCCUCCUUCUCAUGGCCGCCGCCUCUCUACUUCUGGCCCCUCAUGGCCUUUGGCCAAUUUUUGAACUUCAGGGUCUAUCAGUUACUGGGUGAAUCCGGUGUUUACUAUGGAGUACGGUUUGGGAAGAACAUUCCAUGGGUGACAGAAUUUCCAUUUGGAUAUAUAAGAGAUCCUCAGUAUGUGGGAAGCAUUUUGAGCAUUUUUGCUUGUCUUUCUUGGGUACCCUUGCAAUAUAUUCUGCUGUUGACGCUGGGAUACGUCUUUAUGAUGCAAGUUGAAUCAAAGGAAGAUCCCACAACUCGGGCAAAGCCUCAAAGUUAAAUUUGUGAGAGACUAAUCUUGGAACAACCAGACAGGAUUGACAUACGGUGUGUUUGGGCCGCUUCUGAGUACCCGUUAACCCGGUUCUCUUCACUAUGAUGCAUUUCUCGUUCGAGUUUUUGGGAAACUUGAAAUCUAAAGGACUGUUUGGUCAAAGAGCAAGAAGGAAUUCAAUCAUUGUCAAAAGUUAUGGGCUAGGAGAAGGAUUUGUAGACCCUGUUUUUGGCUUGCAGAAUCUGUAAAAAUUUUCUUUGUAUUAUGACAAUGCUAAAUAAAACAAUCUUAUUAUAUUCCUGAAGGACAUAAUGCAGUUGAACACUGGUGGACUUUUGCUCA